GUCACCCUAUAAAAGUCUGAGGCAGCCCCAGGAGGACCUCUGCAGCACAGCUCUCUCCCCGGGACGUGAGGUUCUGGCCACCCCGCCAUGAGGCUUCUAGUCGUCUCCAGGCUGCUCUGCAUCUUGCUCCUCUGCUUCUCCAUCUUCUCCACAGAAGGGAGAAAAAAUUCUAGUCAUCUCAGCAGGCCCUGGAAACGCAGACCAUGCUGUUCCCGAGUUCCUAACCCUGCCCUGAUGACCCGGAAAGGGCGCCGUGUGAGGAUCUGCAGACUGUGUAACUUCAAGCCAGAGUCCCGGCUUUGGGUGGUACCUGGGGCUCUCCCGCAAGUGUAAUGUUCCCCAGACAAGGCUGCAUGCAGCUGAGACCCUCAUGCCCAGUGCCCGAGACCUCCAGAAGUCUUGGGUUCUCCCAGGAUGCUCCUCUUGAAGCUGGGGCUGAUGGCAAAGAUGUCAAGAGCUUUGGCCCAUGGAAGCUUCUGCCCAUGAACCACGAACCUCUUCUCUUAAAGACACAACAUUUCUUGCCUGCCGUGUUGGACUGUAUUCAUAAUGCCUUUUAGAAAAACCUGAACCAGAAUUUUCUAAAAACCACAACAUGAAUACUAAGGUCAAAACUCUGGAUUGCCUGUCUUGCUGUGGGACCUUGAACAAAGAGCAAGAAUAAGA